GGAGUGUGUGACUCCACCUGAGUUGAGAGAUUAUUUUAUAACUCCUUCACCAUCUGAUAAGAAUGGGGAAAUAAACGUGAAGGGUCAUGUAUCAUGUGUGCAGCUCAUCAGCAUGUAAAUAUCUCUCCUGUGUGAAGGAUAAAAGAAAGUGUCAGGUGGAACACACACCACGUCCUCCAUCAUUAUGUGGUCAUGGGGAUGAAACUUGACCGGUGCUUAUGGAAGUGGUAUGAAAAUGACGGGAUCGAUCGUCCAGCACCACCAACCACACACACACGAGUCCAGUGUACAGGACGUGUGUGAGACAGAGGGAUGAGUCGAAUAACUCGUGGCAUGGGGUAUCUCCAACACUAUUGGCUGUUGUAUCAAUCAGUCAAGAUUUACAUCAACACUCAGUUUGAGCCAACAGGACAAGAGAACCUCAUCAGAACGUCUUUCAAAUCACACGUGUUCACAGCAGAGCAACCUGCUGAGCACCUUUCAAGGUAAAAGCUAGAAAUAAACCAAAUAAAGCUAGAGAGAUAUAAGCUGUAGGAGUGUUUGUAUGUUUUUCAUACUGAGACUGUAUUGUUAUGGCAGUGAAAUUAUUUUUAAAGCUCACUAUAUCCAUAUAUACAGGUGAAAAGGCACAAAAGGAAAGGUUCAGUAUAGAACCCAUCAUUUUUUAGGAUAGUAUAUGAAUAUUUAUUCAGAGCAUUAAACAAAAAAAAGGUUAAUAAAUACAUAAAAAUAAUAAACACAUCAUUUACUUUGUUUUCACUAAGACUGUUUUUUUUGCAUUUUAAAUGAGUUCACAGUGUGUGUGUGUGUGUGUGUGUGUGUGUGUUUUCUGGGUCUUUAUGGAACUAUGUGACGCAGUAAGAUUUAGCACUUUGAAUAUGCGUCAAGCCGCACGCGAGACUGCUGAACAACCCGGAAGUGGAGAAUUGACAUGGGACCGCGCAUGCGUACA